CUCGUGCCUUGUGCUCAUCCAGGAUCUUGCUUCUAAUGCAGCAGUUUGCCAAAGGGAAGGUCGCUGCGAUCCUGCGACACCUGUUCCUGGUGGAGCUGGUUGGAAAACCUCGGAGCAGCUUUCCAUUGGAAAAUGCAGCCCUGUCAAAAUCAAGCCGCUCUGCAAACUUGUGUUGGUUUCACUGAAAAUGUCAUUUAAAAAAGAGCAGUGGCGCUGUGCUGUAUCACGUUCCUUCUACCGACCCUGGAGAAAAGAGAACAGUCAGAAGACGAAACCACUGCUUCGAAACAAAGGCUUGCCGAGAUCUGCGGCAAGGAGUUGCUUAUCUGACAUCUGUUGCCUGCCACACACUUGCUUAUGCUUGGGAAAAGAUCCUUGGAAAUGGUGCCCCCCUCCUUCCUUUC
ensembl:lncRNA